rnacentral:rRNA from 1 species
AUGGACCCGCCGGAGAAGCAACCGCCGGCCGCAGCCGCCUCCACGGCUUCUCCUUCCCGAGGCUCAGCUGGGGCGCCUCCUCCGCUUGGACGUCAACAUCCGCAGCCAUCCCCCGACCCCGACUCGGUCGCAGCGACCUGGGAGGUGGGAACCUCCACCACCACCACCACUCCCGAAAGUAUUUUCGCAAUGGAAUCAGUGCGUGCCAUGGAGAACAAGUCAUGCCCUCAAAGUGACGGGCCAGUGAAACUGUCAUUCAAGUUGUUAAAGGAGAUCACAAACAACUUCAACCACAAACUUGGCUUCGGUGCAUCUGCCGAAGUUUACAAGGGAGAGUUCAAUGGAGAAGUGAUUGCCGUAAAAGUACUGCCAUUCAAGAUCGGGGUUGACGAGAUGCUAUUCCAGAACGAAUAUGAACACCUUAAGAGGCUCAAGCAUCCUAAUAUUGUGCGACUAGUGGGCUUCUGUGAUGAAACAGAGCGUGUACGUGCAGAGUACAAAGGAGAAAUGGUAAUGGCCGAAGAAAUACAUAGGGCACUCUGCCUCGAGUUCCUGCCCAACGGACCCCUUAGCAACAAUCUUCAUGGUAUGUCGGCGACCCACCUAAAGAAAAAACAUCUUAGACUUGAUUGGCACAGACGCUUCCAGAUAAUCAAAGGGAUGUGUGCGGGUUUGGAAUAUAUUCACGGAGCUUGCGUUGUGCAUUUGGAUAUAAAGACAGAUAAUGUAUUGCUAGACGCGAAAAUGAUACCAAAGAUUGUGGAUUUUGGAAUAUCAAGGCUAUUGGGUGAAGAAUGCAUCAGAGAGUCAAAUGCAACACAGCUAGGGACAGUUGGAUAUGUACCACCGGAGUUCAUAGACAAUCGAGUCAUCUCAAGAGGGUUUGACAUCUUUAGCGUAGGGGUUACAAUUAAGAAGUUACUGACCGGAGGAAUGAACUACUGGAACAUUUCUUACAUGAAUGACAAGGACUGUAUUGAGCAUGUACACAACAACUGGAGGAAAAAAUUUCAGGAGAUACCAUCGUAUCCAUCGCUUGAAGUAGAUUGCGAACAAGUAAGGACUUGUAUUAGGACCGCACUACAAUGCAUGGAUGAUGAACGACUUAAUAGACCUUCCAUGAAAGAUAUCAAUAGUGAGCUGAUUGAAAGACAAAUGAUGACCGCGUGUUCAAAAGAAUGCUCGGAGUCAGUACAGUUUCCGGCCAAGAGUCGAGUCCGAAGGAAAGCUUUUCGCAAAGUCCAAAGGGAAGCUACCCCCCUAUUAAGAGAAAAGACUGUGCGGUUAAAACGCAACUCAUGGGCACUGGAUAUUCAAGGAAAAAGAGGACCCAUCUCUCGAAGAAGAGAAAGAAAUUAUAUGUGUUCCGACCUAAAAGACGACUCACGGUUGACGAUAGACAUCCCAGAGAUGCCCUCUCCAGAAUUCGAGUUUCUACGGGAAAUUACUAACGAUUUUUCAAAGGAACGUAUAGUUUCUGAAUGUGCAUCUGCGACAGUUUUUAAGAGUGAAGUUGGACAGCUCAUGGAGAUCAAACACAAAAAUAUUGUACGAUUACUUGGCUAUUGCAAUGUGAAGAAGAGGGAAGUUGUCAAGCAUGAUGGGAGAUAUAUUCUGACAAGCAAGGUAGAAAGUUUUCUAUGGUACGAGUAUUUGUCAAAUAAAAGCCUUGACGAGUAUAUUUACGAUUAA